rnacentral:tRNA from 1 species
UGGGGGCGGGGGGACUUGAACCCCCACGACUAUUUUGAGUCAACGGAUUUUAAGUCCGUUGCGUCUACCGUUCCGCCACGCCCCC